rnacentral:sRNA from 1 species
AUUCUACCCAAGCGGGGAAGGAUGAGAAGCUUCGACCAAGGUUCGACUUGAGCGCCAGCGAGAGAGCGUUGCCGCAGGCAACGACCCGAAGGGCGAAGCGCGCAGCGCUGAGUAAUCCUUCCCCCACCACCA